rnacentral:ncRNA from 1 species
CAUAGGCUUGGUCCUGGCCUUUCCGUUGGUUCUAGGUAAAACUACACAUGCAAGUAUCCGCACCCCAGUGAGAAUGCCCUCUAAAUCAUAUCUGAUUAAAAGGAGCGGGCAUCAAGCACACUACUAAGUAGCUAAUAACGCCUUGCUCAACCACACCCCCACGGGAAACAGCAGUGAUAAAAAUUAAGCCAUAAACGAAAGUUUGACUAAGUUAUACCUACAUCAUAGGGUUGGUAAAUCUCGUGCCAGCCACCGCGGUCACACGAUUAACCCAAAUCAACAGAAAUACGGCGUAAAGCGUGUUUAAGAACAAAAAAAAAGAAUAAAGUUAAAUUUUAACUAAACCGUAAAAAGCCCUAGUUAAAAUAAAAAUAAACCACGAAAGUGACUUUACAUAUUCUGAAUACACGAUAGCUAAGACCCAAACUGGGAUUAGAUACCCCACUAUGCUUAGCCCUAAACCUAAAUAAUUUAACACAACAAUACUAUUCGCCAGAGUACUACUAGCAACAGCUUAAAACUCAAAGGACUUGGCGGUGCUUCAUACCCCUCUAGAGGAGCCUGUCCUAUAAUCGAUAAACCCCGAUAAACCUCACCAGCUCUUGCCAACUCAGCCUAUAUACCGCCAUCCUCAGCAAACCCUAAAAAGGAACUGCAGUAAGCACAAACAUAAGACAUAAAAACGUUAGGUCAAGGUGUAGCCUAUGAGCUGGGAAGAGAUGGGCUACAUUUUCUUCUUAAAGAACACUUAAAUCUCAUUACGAAAGCUCCCAUGAAAUAAAGAGCAGAAGGUGGAUUUAGUAGUAAACCAAGAAUAAAGAGCUUGAUUGAAUCAGGCCAUGAAGCACGCACACACCGCCCGUCACCCUCCUCAAAUAUAAAGAUACACAUCAAACCUUUACCUAAGUAUCCACAGUAUGAGAGGAGAUAAGUCGUAACAAGGUAAGCGUACUGGAAAGUGCGCUUGGAUACAC